UACGUAGGGUACAAGCGUUGUCCGGAAUUAUUGGGCGUAAAGAGCUCGUAGGUGGUCUGUCACGUCUGCUGUGGAAACGCAAGGCUCAACCUUGCGCGUGCAGUGGGUACGGGCGGACUAGAGUGCAGUAGGGGAGUCUGGAAUUCCUGGUGUAGCGGUGAAAUGCGCAGAUAUCAGGAGGAACACCGGUGGCGAAGGCGGGACUCUGGGCUGUAACUGACGCUGAGGAGCGAAAAGCAUGGGGAGCGAACAGG
rnacentral:rRNA from 1 species